rnacentral:piRNA from 1 species
GUAAAUUAUAUUGGUCUAAGCUCAGCACUU